UGCUACAAGCACAGAACAGGCAAC
rnacentral:piRNA from 2 species